UGAACUAUAGAGUAAUUGGCAACUCGUCUCAUUUUGGUUGAGAAGAUUAAUUGUUCGAAUCAAUUUAGUUCAG